ensembl:piRNA 21ur-1429 ncRNA
UUAUUGGACCAAAAAGCUAAA